rnacentral:misc_RNA from 1 species
UCCCCGUUACCGGGGCAGUCUGAUUAGAAAAAUUCAACUAAUCAUAAGGGUUGCGCUCGUUGAAGGACUUAACCUAACAUCUCACGACACGAGCUGAAGGCGGCCAUGCAACACCUGUCACUAGGUUCCCGAAGGCACUCUCGACUUUCAUCAAAAUUCCUAGGAUGUCAAACCCUGGUAAGGUUCUUCGCUUACCAUCGAAUUAAACAACACGCUCCACCGCUUGUGCGGGUCCCCGUCAAUUCCUUUGAGUUUUAGUCUUGCGGCCGUACUCCCCAGGCGGGGCACUUAAUGCGUUAGCUUCGGCACAGGAGGAGUCGACACCUCCCACACCUAGUGCCCAUCGUUUACGGCGUGGACUAC